UACGAAGGGGGCAAGCGUUGUUCGGAAUUACUGGGCGUAAAGGGCGCGUAGGCGGCUUAUCAAGUCAGGCGUGAAAUUCCCGGGCUCAACCUGGGGCUGCGCUUGAUACUGAUGAGCUUGAAUGCGGGAGAGGAUAGUGGAAUUCCCAGUGUAGAGGUGAAAUUCGUAGAUAUUGGGAAGAACACCGGUGGCGAAGGCGGCGACCUGGUCCGAUACUGACGCUGAGGCGCGAAAGCGUGGGGAGCAAACAGG
rnacentral:rRNA from 1 species